AUAGCAACAGCAGCGUAGCUGAACAUCUUACGGAUGGCCCAGGGCUCCAAAGGCUCGUUUCCUAAGUGAGAGAGAGCCUGGCUGAAGCUGUAUUACCAUUCAUUCUCCAGCCUCCGAAGUCUCAAAGCAUCACUUCCACCAUACUCUAACUGUCAAGACAAACACAAAGGCCCAGAAAGAAGAAUACACUAUCGAUGUUCCUUUUAAACAAGUAUUUGAGUAAAAGCGAUGUUUCCAAUGUGUGUCAGAAAGUGAAUACUUGUAUAUUUCCGCACGGUUAGAGCUGAGCUUUCCGAGCAAAUUUUACUGGGACCCGGUUGAAAGACAGGUCUUGGAAGUGAAAUGAUGACUGACUAGAUGACAUUACAUGUAAAUGGAAUCAUACAAUAUGUGAUCUUUUGUGACUGGCUUCUUUCACUUAGCAUAACGUUUUCAAGGUUUGUUCGUGUUGUAGCAGAAACUGCCAGACUGUCUUCUGAAGUGGCUAUAAUAUUUACACUCCCAUCAGCAGUGUAGAAGGGGUCUCACUAUGUUGUCUGGAGUGCUGUGGUGGAGUGGAGUGGCUAUUCACAGAGCCUGUUCUGCUGGGACACAGAAUCACUUGCUCCAUCUCAUACAUUGAUGAUGAUUAAUUUGUAUGUGUACCUUCCAAAAAAGAUGGUUGUGUUUGAAUGGAGGCCUUCUGGACAGGAAAAUUGCAAAGUACAAUUAACAUUUGAGUCUGUCUGAGUCAUGAAGAAAUGGAGAUUACUGAAAAUAAUUCAUUUUGGUAUCUUCUUACAUCCUGAGAGACUAAUCUUUCCAAGUUCAUCUGAGGCUCCUCUUCUCCAUGACAACCUCAUCCAGGGAUUUCUUCCUGUCCUGGUGUUUUAUGACAUCAUCCUCAUCUCGCUUGUAAGGAUAAUAGCCUUCCUCCAAACCUCACACACUUUUGGAGGAGAUCACUUUUUUUAAAGUGCAUGGAAAUGUUUUGAAACAGUGAAAUCUAUAAUGAUAGGUUUCAUAAUUCUAACAUCCACACCAUAUGAAUCACAUCCUUCCUGAGAUAAUGAGCACACAAUUGCCUGGAUACCUGAAGGAAUGGAGACAGCGGCAGAAAACACUGCAGAGAGGUGGAAACAUCCGUUAAUAUUUUAAAAUCCCAUUACUGCUACCAACAAUAAUAAUGGAUGCAUAGAAAUAGAUCUGGAUUAGCUGAGCUUGAAACAGUCCAUCUCACACACACACAAAAGAAUUUCAGAUACAGUGAACCCACAUGUUGAAGCUUUCUAGUAUAAUAAAAAUUUCAACUGUUCUGUUGAAUCAUCUGCCUGAUUGGAGGCUACAGAAAAGAUGUCAUCUUAGGAGUGCUUGCUCUGAGUGAGGCUCAUCUUCAAAUCUGAAUGACCACAAGGAGAUUUGAUUAUACAUGUGAACACCUCAGAAGGCACAGCCCACCCAGAAGGCAGACAGGUCAGGCUGCUUUUUCUUCAUUGCUUGGAUUCAAUCCUCCGGGCGGCUCAGGCUCAAACAUAACUUAAGCAUGAUUAAACUUUAGAAGAAGCUGCCAGGAAGACUGUGAAAUCUUCAUGCCCAAGGAUCCCUAAAAUUAGGAGCAACAACCACUUGGCUCAGACGGUUUAUGGAGGCAAAGGUUUGGAUGGGAUUAGAGAUUUCUAAAUGUGAGUUCGUGUCCUCUGCCAGACCACCUUACUUCCACCAUUCCUCAGCAAAUCAAGAAAAACAGGAGAAAAGACAUGCCUUUCCAUAAGUUAAAUCUAUUCUGUUUUAAUUCUAUAUUAUAUCUGCUGUACAACUUCUUUUGUUUGUAACACCAUAUUGUUGCUAGUAACUGGAAAUUAAUUUUCACAUGCCUCAGCUUAGAAAAAUAAAAAGCAGCCCUGCAUCAA
ensembl:lncRNA LINC00635 long intergenic non-protein coding RNA 635